CAGUCGCCGCGGUAAUACGGAGGGUGCAAGCGUUAAUCGGAAUUACUGGGCGUAAAGCGCACGCAGGCGGUUUGUUAAGUCAGAUGUGAAAUCCCCGAGCUUAACUUGGGAACUGCAUUUGAAACUGGCAAGCUAGAGUCUUGUAGAGGGGGGUAGAAUUCCAGGUGUAGCGGUGAAAUGCGUAGAGAUCUGGAGGAAUACCGGUGGCGAAGGCGGCCCCCUGGACAAAGACUGACGCUCAGGUGCGAAAGCGUGGGGAGCAAACAGGAUUAGAGACCCCUGUAGUCCCUGUCUCUUAUAA
rnacentral:rRNA from 1 species